AACUUUUGGCAACGGAUCACUAGGCUCUUGCAUCGAUGAAGAACGCAGCGAAAUGCGAUAAGUAAUGUGAAUUGCAGAAUUCAGUGAAUCAUCGAAUCUUUGAACGCACCUUGCACCCUUUGGUAUUCCGAAGGGUAUGCUCGUUUGAGUGUCAUUGUACUCUCACACUUCUGAUUCGUUUUCGGAUUGGGAGCGGUGGACUUGGGUGUUGCUGCUUUACUGUGGCUCACCUCAAAUGAGUUAGUGCAACUCUUGGUUGGACAUAGUACGGCGUGAUAAGUAUCUUCGCCGGCGCCUCGCUUCAGAGGGUGGCCGAUUGGGAGCUCUGUGCUUCAAACCGUCUUCGGACAAUCUCUGACAACUUGACCUCAAAUCGAGUAGGACUACCUGCUGAACUUAAGCAUAUAAUAAGCGGAGGCU
rnacentral:misc_RNA from 1 species